CAGCAGCCGCGGUAAUACGUAGGGUGCGAGCGUUAAUCGGAAUUACUGGGCGUAAAGCGUGCGCAGGCGGUUCGGAAAGAAAGAUGUGAAAUCCCAGGGCUUAACCUUGGAACUGCAUUUUUAACUACCGGACUAGAGUGUGUCAGAGGGAGGUGGGAUUCCGCGUGUAGCAGUGAAAUGCGUAGAGAUGCGGAGGAACACCGAUGGCGAAGGCAGCCUCCUGGGAUAACACUGACGCUCAUGCACGAAAGCGUGGGGAGCAAACAGGAUUAGAUACCCCAGUAGUCCCUGUCUCUUAUAC
rnacentral:rRNA from 1 species